rnacentral:tRNA from 1 species
GGGUCAGUAGCUCAGCCUGGUAGAGCAGGAGCCUCUUAAGCUCUUGGCCGUGGGU